AUUGAACGCUGGCGGCAGGCCUAACACAUGCAAGUCGAGCGAGCGGCGGACGGGUGAGUAAUGUCUGGGAAACUGCCUGAUGGAGGGGGAUAACUACUGGAAACGGUAGCUAAUACCGCAUACCAUCAGAUGUGCCCAGAUGGGAUUAGCUGGUAGGUGGGGUAACGGCUCACCUAGGCGACGAUCCCUAGCUGGUCUGAGAGGAUGACCAGACACACUGGAACUGAGACACGGUACAGACCCCUACGAGAGGCAGCAGGGGGGAAUAUGGCACAAUGGGCGCAAGCCUGAUGCAGCCAUGCCGCGAGUGUGAAGAAUGCCUUCGGGUUGUAAAGCACUUUCAGCGGGGAGGCGUUACCCGCAGAAGAAGCACCGGCUAACUCCGUGCCAGCAGCCGCGGUAAUC
rnacentral:rRNA from 1 species